CUGCAGGUCCCUCUUCAUUAGAAGAACGAAAUUUCUAGAAGAAAAAUGUUCUAGAAAUUUCGUUCUCCUGAUGAGGAGGGACCUGU
rnacentral:pre_miRNA from 1 species